GACGAACGCUGGCGGCGUGCUUAACACAUGCAAGUCGAACGGAAAGGCCCUGCUUUUGUGGGGUGCUCGAGUGGCGAACGGGUGAGUAACACGUGAGUAACCUGCCCUUGACUUUGGGAUAACUUCAGGAAACUGGGGCUAAUACCGGAUAGGAGCUCCUGCUGCAUGGUGGGGGUUGGAAAGUUUCGGCGGUUGGGGAUGGACUCGCGGCUUAUCGGCUUGUUGGUGGGGUAGUGGCUUACCAAGGCUUUGGCGGGUAGCCGGCCUGAGAGGGUGACCGGCCACAUUGGGACUGAGAUACGGCCCAGACUCCUACGGGAGGCAGCAGUGGGGAAUAUUGCACAAUGGGCGGAAGCCGGAUGCAGCAACGCCGCGUGCGGGAUGACGGCCUUCGGGUUGUAAACCGCUUUCGCCUGUGACGAAGCGUUAGUGACGGUAAUGGGUAAAGAAGCACCGGCUAACUACGUG
rnacentral:rRNA from 1 species